GCGGAGGAAAGAACCAACCGGGAUUGCCUUAGUAACGGCGAGUGAAGCGGCAAAAGCUCAAAUUUGAAAUCUGGUACCUUCGGUGCCCGAGUUGUAAUUUGGAGAGGGCAACUUUGGGGCCGUUCCUUGUCUAUGUUCCUUGGAACAGGACGUCAUAGAGGGUGAGAAUCCCGUGUGGCGAGGAGUGCGGUUCUUUGUAAAGUGCCUUCGAAGAGUCGAGUUGUUUGGGAAUGCAGCUCUAAGUGGGUGGUAAAUUCCAUCUAAAGCUAAAUAUUGGCGAGAGACCGAUAGCGAACAAGUACAGUGAUGGAAAGAUGAAAAGAACUUUGAAAAGAGAGUGAAAAAGUACGUGAAAUUGUUGAAAGGGAAGGGCAUUUGAUCAGACAUGGUGUUUUGUGCCCUCUGCUCCUUGUGGGUAGGGGAAUCUCGCAUUUCACUGGGCCAGCAUCAGUUUUGGUGGCAGGAUAAAUCCAUAGGAAUGUAGCUUGCCUCGGUAAGUAUUAUAGCCUGUGGGAAUACUGCCAGCUGGGACUGAGGACUGCGACGUAAGUCAAGGAUGCUGGCAUAAUGGUUAUAUGCCGCCCGUCUUGAAACACGGACCUCCUGUGUGAAGUGAAUCCGCUA
rnacentral:rRNA from 1 species